ACGGAAGGCAGCAGUGGGGAAUAUUGCACAAUGGGGGAAACCCUGAUGCAGCAACGCCGCGUGAGUGAAGAAGUAUUUCGGUAUGUAAAGCUCUAUCAGCAGGGGAGAUAAUGACGGUACCUGACUAAGAAGCUCCGGCUAAAUACGUGCCAGCAGCCGCGGUAAUACGUAUGGAGCAAGCGUUAUCCGGAUUUACUGGGUGUAAAGGGUGCGUAGGUGGCAGGGCAAGUCAGAUGUGAAAGACCGGGGCUCAACUCCGGGGCUGCAUUUGAAACUGUCUUGCUAGAGUGCAGGAGGGGCAAGCGGAAUUCCUAGUGUAGCGGUGAAAUGCGUAGAUAUUAGGAGGAACACCAGUGGCGAAGGCGGCUUUCUGGACUGAAACUGACACUGAGGCACGAAAGCGUGGGGAGCAAACAGGAUUAGAUACCCUGGUA
rnacentral:rRNA from 1 species